GAUGAACGCUGGCGGCGUGCCUAAUACAUGCAAGUCGAGCGAACAGACGAGGAGCUUGCUCCUCUGACGUUAGCGGCGGACGGGUGAGUAACACGUGGAUCACCUACCUAUAAGACUGGGAUAACUUCGGGAAACCGGAGCUAAUACCGGAUAAUAUAUUGAACCGCAUGGUUCAAUAGUGAAAGACGGCUUUGCUGUCACUUAUAGAUGGAUCCGCGCCGCAUUAGCUAGUUGGUAAGGUCACGGCUUACCAAGGCGACGAUGCGUAGCCGACCUGAGAGGGUGAUCGGCCACACUGGAACUGAGACACGGUCCAGACUCCUACGGGAGGCAGCAGUAGGGAAUCUUCCGCAAUGGGCGAAAGCCUGACGGAGCAACGCCGCGUGAGUGAUGAAGGUCUUCGGAUCGUAAAACUCUGUUAUUAGGGAAGAACAAAUGUGUAAGUAACUAUGCACGUCUUGACGGUACCUAAUCAGAAAGCCACGGCUAACUACGUG
rnacentral:rRNA from 1 species